UCAACCCGGUAUCGAUGGCGGCACUACGAAAGUAGCGCCGGAGGCAGCUGAACCCGCUUCAGCUCUGCAUUAGCAGCAAACAGGUCAGCGACCUGGGGUGCCUCGCAAGAACUCAACAUUCUGCCACCCCGAUGCACAGAUGCCGGUUG
ncrna:Pantoea sp. A4 EFASI RNA